UUAUCUGACUGUUUUCCCUUAGCAUGAUGCUUCCAAGGUUCAUCCAUGUGGUAGCAUGUAGAUAGCAUGUGUCAGAUUUCAGUCACCUGUAGUACGCUAGUGUUUUGUCUGCCCAUUGUUGCUUGAUAGACAGGUGUUUGGAUUGUUUCCCCUUUUGUGCUGCUAUGAAUAAUGCUGUUUUGGACUGUGUGUGUGCGGGUUUUUUGUGUGGACAUGUGCGAUCAUAUUUUUGGGCAUAUGUGUAGGAGUGGAGUUCCUGCAAGAGCCUCUGCCUUGAACCCGCGUGAGGAAGUUGUCGUUUCCAUUUUGCAGUGAGAAGAUUGAGGUCUCCAAGUGUGAAGCGCCCUUGGAGUGCCACACAGUGCAUGAGUAAUGGGAACAGGAAGGCUACUGCCAGGACCCUGACUCAGAAACUGCGUCCUUUCCACCAUGUUCCCCCUGGCUCUCACAUGAUUUCUUCUUGUGCCUUUGUUUGUCCCUCUUCUCAUCCUUGCUUGCGUUUAACGGAGGGCCGCUAGGCAAGGCAACCCGACCCUGAAAGAAGAUCCCAAAAUACCCUUAAGAUGACCUCUGCCUGCCAUGCUGUGAACAACUGUGGGUUUCAUCGAUUGAUUGACACGUGGUGUUUGCCUCUGGCGGAAUCAUCCACCCCAGUUCUCUCAUGGAUCCGGGUGCCUUCAGGAUGCUGUCUGGGGGGGGAGGUGAAUAGAGUUGGUGACUCGGGGCACAAUAGAAAUAAAAACACCACUUCACUUUUGCAGUGUU